rnacentral:antisense_RNA from 1 species
GCAGAAGGACUCCAGGUACACCUUGACGUACUGGUCACCUAUCACCUGCAUCUUGGUUGCGCGCGUGUUCUCCAUGGAGCAAACCAGCUCGUGCGCGCACACCACGUGCCGCAGUGCCACGUCCUUGGUGGGAAACACGAACGCUGACGUGUAGUAGACGUCGGGCUCUUUCCACUGGUUCUGCUGACGCGUCCAGGCCAGUCCCGAGACCGUGAGACGCGCCUGCCACAUCUGCUUGCCCGACGCGUGAAUCACAGCGUCAGCUACGGGCAGGUGUCGGUGUUUGCGCUCGGCCGCCGACGGGUAGUGGUGCACGUUGAUGCUGGGGAUGUUCAGCAUCUUGAGCGGCAGCGCGUACACAUAGAUCGACAUGGGCUCCUGGCUGGGGCAGAUGCUUCGGCCCGUGGGGUUGUGCACGUUGACCGACACGUUCUCCACCUCGCUGCCCGUAAAGUACGUGUGCUGCACCUGCAGCUGAUUGUCGCCGCGGUGGCAUGGCGUCGAGUCGGGCGUGUACUGCGACACCAGGAUCAGCGAGGGCUGGCUCACGCGUACGUGGAUACCCGUCUGCAGGAGUCGCGUCUCGUGCGGCAGCACCGGCGUAUCGCCGCGACUAAACACGGCUUUCAGCACGUGCCCCGAAAUGGGACCCAGUACGGAUAUCAUUUCGGGACAACGGCGACCGCGCGACUCCAUGCUGCCUGCGCGUACGGGUGUAGGCGACUGAGCGGCGCGCCCUCUGCGGCCGCCGCCUUACAUAGGCAGGCGACCAAACGCGGAACCCGAAAUAAAAACGUUCUACACAGAGAAAAAAAAAAAAAAAAA